rnacentral:rRNA from 1 species
AGCGAACGUUAGCGGCGGGCUUAACACAUGCAAGUCGAGCGAGAGAGUGACUUCGGUCAUGAGUAAAGCGGCAGACGGGUGAGGAACACGUAGGUAAUUUUCCGUUUAGUGGGGGACAACGGUCCGAAAGGACCGCUAAUACCGCAUACGUUUCUUGGGACUUUGGUCUUGGGAAGGAAAGCUGGGCAACUGGCGCUAAAUGAGAAGCCUGCGUCGCAUCAGCUAGUUGGUGGGGUAAUGGCCUACUAAGGCGAAGACGCGUAGCUGGUCUGAGAGGAUGAUCAGCCACACUGGAACUGAGACACGGUCCAGACUCCUACGGGAGGCAGCAGUGGGGAAUAUUGGACAAUGGGCGCAAGCCUGAUCCAGCCACGCCGCGUGAGUGAUGAAGGCCUUCGGGUCGUAAAGCUCUGUGGGGAGAGACGAACCGCUGGGGUAACCCGUUCAGCAUGACGGUAUCUCCUUAGCAAGCACCGGCUAACUUCGUGCCAGCAGCCGCGGUAAU